AGGGGAACGACUUUUUCUGUAUUUACGCGAGGGGGGGGGACAGUCAUCGGGUAGUCGGUCCUCUCGAGGCCAACCUAGUUCCCAAAUUGGAAUUUUAGAAAUAAGAUCGAACUGAUCACUCGACUUUAUUUCCACCAAAAAAUAACACCCAAUGGUAGCUACCUUUUCCUUCUUUUCUGAUCUAUGUUUUACAAUCAAAUUUUUGGAGGAUUGAAUGAUUUUAUUUGCACGGGUAUCAGUGAGUGAGGUUGUUCAGUUUUUGGAGGAAUUAAGAUUUGUAAUUCUAUUUCAUGCUUCUUCAAUAAAUGUGGUUUAUAUACUCA